rnacentral:rRNA from 1 species
CCUACGGGAGGCUGCAGUGGGGAAUAUUGCACAAUGGGCGCAAGCCUGAUGCAGCCAUGCCGCGUGUGUGAAGAAGGCCGUCGGGUUGUAAAGCACUUUCAGCGGGGAGGAAGGCGUUAAGGUUAAUAACCUUGUCGAUUGACGUUACCCGCAGAAGAAGCACCGGCUAACUCCGUGCCAGCAGCCGCGGUAAUACGGAGGGUGCAAGCGUUAAUCGGAAUUACUGGGCGUAAAGCGCACGCAGGCGGUCUGUCAAGUCGGAUGUGAAAUCCCCGGGCUCAACCUGGGAACUGCAUUCGAAACUGGCAGGCUAGAGUCUUGUAGAGGGGGGUAGAAUUCCAGAUGUAGCGGUGAAAUGCGUAGAGAUCUGGAGGAAUACCGGUGGCGAGGGCGGCCCCCUGGACAAAGACUGACGCUCAGGUGCGAAAGCGGGGGAGCAAACAGGAUUAGAUACCCCAGUAGUC